CCCUUAGAUGUUCUGGGCCGCACGCGCGCUACACUGACGAAUGCAACGAGCUUAUAACCUUGGCCGAAAGGUCUGGGUAAUCUCCAAAUUUCGUCGUGAUGGGGAUAGAUUAUUGCAAUUAUUAAUCUUCAACGAGGAAUGCCUAGUAAGCGCAAGUCAUCAGCUUGCGUUGAUUACGUCCCUGCCCUUUGUACACACCGCCCGUCGCUCCUACCGAUUGAAUGGCCCGGUGAAGCGUUCGGACCGUGGCCUUUGGACGGUUCGCCGUCUGUUGGCUGCGGGAAGUUCGUUAAACCUUAUCAUUUAGAGGAAGGAGAANUCGUAACA
rnacentral:rRNA from 1 species